UGGGGAAUAUUGCACAAUGGAGGGAACUCUGAUGCAGCGACGCCGCGUGAACGAAGAAGGCUUUCGAGUCGUAAAGUUCUUUUAUAUGGGAAGAUAAUGACGGUACCAUAAGAAAAAGCCCCGGCUAACUACGUGCCAGCAGCCGCGGUAAUACGUAGGGGGCUAGCGUUGUCCGGAAUCACUGGGCGUAAAGGGUUCGCAGGCGGAAAUGCAAGUCAGGUGUAAAAGGCAGUAGCUUAACUACUGUAAGCAUUUGAAACUGCAUAUCUUGAGAAGAGUAGAGGUAAGUGGAAUUUUUAGUGUAGCGGUGAAAUGCGUAGAUAUUAAAGAGAAUACCGGUGGCGAAGGCUACUUACUGGGCUCAUUCUGACGCUGAGGAACGAAAGCGUGGGUAGCAAACAGG
rnacentral:rRNA from 1 species